AGGAUGAACGCUAGCCACAGGCUUAACACAUGCAAGUCGAGGGGCAUCAGGAAGAAAGCUUGCUUUCUUUGCUGGCGACCGGCGCACGGGUGAGUAACACGUAUCCAACCUGCCCUUUACUCGGGGAUAGCCUUUCGAAAGAAAGAUUAAUACCCGAUAGCAUAAUGAUUCCGCAUGGUUUCAUUAUUAAAGGAUUCCGGUAAAGGAUGGGGAUGCGUUCCAUUAGGUUGUUGGUGAGGUAACGGCCCACCAAGCCUUCGAUGGAUAGGGGUUCUGAGAGGAAGGUCCCCCACAUUGGAACUGAGACACGGUCCAAACUCCUACGGGAGGCAGCAGUGAGGAAUAUUGGUCAAUGGGCGCUAGCCUGAACCAGCCAAGUAGCGUGAAGGAUGAAGGCUCUAUGGGUCGUAAACUUCUUUUAUAUAAGAAUAAAGUGCAGUAUGUAUACUGUUUUGUAUGUAUUAUAUGAAUAAGGAUCGGCUAACUCCGUGCCAGCAGCCGCGGUAAUACGGAGGAUCCGAGCGUUAUCCGGAUUUAUUGGGUUUAAAGGGAGCGUAGGUGGACUGGUAAGUCAGUUGUGAAAGUUUGCGGCUCAACCGUAAAAUUGCAGUUGAUACUGUCAGUCUUGAGUACAGUAGAGGUGGGCGGAAUUCGUGGUGUAGCGGUGAAAUGCUUAGAUAUCACGAAGAACUCCGAUUGCGAAGGCAGCUCACUGGACUGCAACUGACACUGAUGCUCGAAAGUGUGGGUAUCAAACAGGAUUAGAUACCCUGGUAGUCCACACAGUAAACGAUGAAUACUCGCUGUUUGCGAUAUACAGUAAGCGGCCAAGCGAAAGCAUUAAGUAUUCCACCUGGGGAGUACGCCGGCAACGGUGAAACUCAAAGGAAUUGACGGGGGCCCGCACAAGCGGAGGAACAUGUGGUUUAAUUCGAUGAUACGCGAGGAACCUUACCCGGGCUUAAAUUGCAGUGGAAUGAUGUGGAAACAUGUCAGUGAGCAAUCACCGCUGUGAAGGUGCUGCAUGGUUGUCGUCAGCUCGUGCCGUGAGGUGUCGGCUUAAGUGCCAUAACGAGCGCAACCCUUAUCUUUAGUUACUAACAGGUUAUGCUGAGGACUCUAGAGAGACUGCCGUCGUAAGAUGUGAGGAAGGUGGGGAUGACGUCAAAUCAGCACGGCCCUUACGUCCGGGGCUACACACGUGUUACAAUGGGGGGUACAGAAGGCAGCUAGCGGGUGACCGUAUGCUAAUCCCAAAAUCCUCUCUCAGUUCGGAUCGAAGUCUGCAACCCGACUUCGUGAAGCUGGAUUCGCUAGUAAUCGCGCAUCAGCCACGGCGCGGUGAAUACGUUCCCGGGCCUUGUACACACCGCCCGUCAAGCCAUGGGAGCCGGGGGUACCUGAAGUACGUAACCGCAAGGAUCGUCCUAGGGUAAAACUGGUGACUGGGGCU
rnacentral:rRNA from 1 species